rnacentral:rRNA from 1 species
CCUACGGGACGCACCAGUGGGGAAUAUUGCACAAUGGGCGCAAGUCUGAUACAGCCAUGCCGCGUGUAUGAAGAAGGCCUUAGGGUUGUAAAGUACUUUCAGUUGGGAGGAAGGCGUUGAUGCUAAUAUCAUCAACGAUUGACGUUACCAACAGAAGAAGCACCGGCUAACUCCGUGCCAGCAGCCGCGGUAAUACGGAGGGUGCAAGCGUUAAUCGGAAUUACUGGGCGUAAAGCGCACGCAGGCGGUUGAUUAAGUUAGAUGUGAAAUCCCCGGGCUUAACCUGGGAAUGGCAUCUGAGACUGGUCAGCUAGAGUCUUGUAGAGGGGGGUAGAAUUCCAUGUGUAGCGGUGAAAUGCGUAGAGAUGAGGAGGAAUACCGGUGGCGAAGGCGGCCCCCUGGACAAAGACUGACGCUCAGGUGCGAAAGCGUGGGGAGCAAACAGGAUUAGAUACCCUCGUAGUC